rnacentral:rRNA from 1 species
AGCGAACGCUGGCGGCAGGCCUAACACAUGCAAGUCGAGCGGCCGUAGCAAUACGGCAGCGGCAGACGGGAGAGUAACACGUGGGAACGCGCCCUUCGGUUCGGGAUAACUCAGGGAAACUUGGGCUAAUACCGGAUACGCCCUUACGGGGCAAGUUUUAUUGCCGAAGGAACGGCCCGCGUCCGAUUAGCUUGUUGGUGAGGUAACGGCUCACCAAGGCGACGAUCGGUAGCUGGUCUGAGAGGAUGACCAGACGCACUGGGACUGAGACACGGCCCAGACUCCUACGGGAGGCAGCAGUGGGGAAUAUUGGACAAUGGGCUCAAGCCUGAUCCAGCCAUGCCGCGUGGGUGAUGAAGGCCCUAGGGUUGUAAAGCCCUUUCAGCGGGGAAGAUAAUGACGGUACCCGCAGAAGAAGCCCCGGCUAACUUCGUGCCAGCAGCCGCGGUAAUAC